rnacentral:rRNA from 1 species
UACGUAGGGUGCGAGCGUUAAUCGGAAUUACUGGGCGUAAAGCGUGCGCAGGCGGUGAUGUAAGGCAGAUGUGAAAUCCCCGGGCUCAACCUGGGACCUGCAUUUGUGACUGCAUCGCUAGAGUACGGUAGAGGGGGAUGGAAUUCCGCGUGUAGCAGUGAAAUGCGUAGAUAUGCGGAGGAACACCGAUGGCGAAGGCAAUCCCCUGGACCUGUACUGACGCUCAUGCACGAAAGCGUGGGGAGCAAACAGG